CUCAAGUCAAUGAUUUACCCAGGUGCUCCACCUCGGCAUCUCAGAGAAAGCGCAAGUUCAUUGUUCCAUUGUUGGCAGCUCUGUCAGCUGUUGUUGCAUUGGCCUUGAUCUUAGGGCUGGUUUUCCUGGUUUUCCAUAUUUUGAGAAAGAAGAGGGAGAGAUCAAGUCAGUCUAUUGACCACACAUAUACAGAGUUUAAAAGGCUAACAUACAAUGAUGUAAGCAAAGCAACGAAUGGCUUCUCUCCAACCAAUAUAGUUGGUUCUGGGCAAUUCGGGAUAGUGUAUAAAGGUCAGUUGGAUGGAAAAGACAGCUCGGUUGCUGUUAAAGUAUUCAAACUUAAUCAGUAUGGUGCAUUGGAUAGCUUUAUUGCUGAGUGCAAAGCUUUGCGGAACAUCCGGCACCGAAAUCUCGUGAGUGUCAUAACUGCAUGCUCAACUUACGAUCUGAUGGGGAAUGAGUUCAAAGCUCUGGUCUUCCAAUAUAUGGCAAAUGGUAGCCUUGAGAAUCGACUUCAUGCUAAGCUCCAGAACAAUGCUGAUUUGAGUUUGGGAACAGUGAUAUGCAUAGCAGUAGACAUUGCGUCUGCUCUGGAAUACCUUCAUAACCAAUGCACCCCACCAGUGGUUCACUGUGAUUUGAAGCCAAGCAAUAUACUCUUUGACGAUGAUGAUACUUCGUAUGUCUGUGAUUUUGGGCUAGCAAGGUUAAUUCAUGGUUAUUCAUCUGAAGCUCAGAGCAGCUCAACAAGCAUAGCUGGACCAGGGGGGACUAUUGGAUACAUCGCUCCUGGUGGGUAACUAAAACUAGCCUGAAUUACUAUUUUACUUUUGAUUAUAGUGCUUGUCAUAACUUUUUGUUUCCAAUCGCUGCAGAGUAUGGCAUGGGCAGUCAAAUCUCAACUGAGGGCGAUGUCUAUAGUUACGGAAUUAUACUUUUAGAAAUGCUAACAGGGAAAAGACCUACGGAUGAAACAUUCGGUAAUGGCCUUACACUCCAGAAGUACGUAGAUGCAUCACUUUCAGAAAUUGAACGCGUUCUUCGCCCCAGUCUUAUGCCAAAAAUUGGAGAUCAACCUACUAUUACCCCCAAAAUAGAAGAAUACAGGGCAACUACAGUGAUGCAUAUCUGUGCUCUGCAACUCGUUAAACUUGGGUUGUUAUGCUCCGUCGAGUCACCAAAAGAUCGCCCAAGCAUGCAUGAAAUUUACAGCGAAGUAAUUGCUGUAAAAGAAGCAUUUUUCUCAAUGAACAGUUGAGAGAUACACUACACGCCUAGAACAGUUUUGAUAUACUGCACAUAGAUUUAUGUCGCAAAUAUUUCCGUUUAUUUGGAUUGUUUUCUUCAUUCUAAAGGCCAGGUACCAAAUUGCUGAAUCUUUUUAUGUAAAUUUCACUAUGCAUUGAUGUUAAAGGCCCGAGCUAUUCUGUCAAUUUGAACUUUUCUUCAGAGAUAAAAGGCCGGUAGCUCUGUUUUCCUAUUGCUUUCAUCAAUGCCAAAGCAACUUGGCCUCCCCGCACAAAUGUGUGGGGCGGACAAUAAUCAAUAUUUACAGCUGAAAUCUCUGCAUUGGUGUUGGAAGUUGCUUCUUUUCUAACCAGAAGUCUCUCAAUUUGCCUCACUGCUAAAUAGCCGAAACACUAGCUAACAUUCCUGUAUGAUGUGUCAAGUUUGGAGCACCCAGUAGGCCAGUACUGGUACUAGUAGUAUUGGUGGUGGCUGCAACGAAGCCCAAUCUCUAGGGACUGCGACUACAAGUCCGAUUAAUCCUGGUUAAAUCAAGUUUGAAGCAAAAACUGUACAAGAUCGAUACGGUAAUUUUGGUAUUUGACACGGAAAUAACAGGACUAGAAAAGAAAUAGCAAACCCUAGGUGCUCACUUUGGCCUCAAUCGGGAAUGGGGCUGCCCUGCACGUCGUGACGAUGGCCGUCGGCCGCGCAAGGCGGAAGGUGG
rnacentral:lncRNA from 1 species